rnacentral:rRNA from 1 species
UACAUGGGGUGCAAACGUUGCUCGGAAUUAUUGGGCGUAAAGGGCUCGUAGGCGGUUUGUCGCGUCGGGAGUGAAAACACCGGGCUUAACUCGGUGCUUGCUUUCGAUACGGGCAGACUAGAGGCAUGCAGGGGAGAACGGAAUUCCUGGUGUAGCGGUGAAAUGCGCAGAUAUCAGGAGGAACACCGGUGGCGAAGGCGGUUCUCUGGGCAUGUCCUGACGCUGAGGAGCGAAAGUGUGGGGAGCGAACAGG